CUGCUGCUGCGGCAGGAGCGUUGCAGGAGCUCCCGGGCUCCCGCCGCCAGCGCUCCUCGCCCCAGCCCGGAGCUCCCCUCGCCCUGCUGACCGCAGAGAGCACCCAAGGGCGCGUUAGCCCCCACGGGCUCUCGGAAACCCCUGACCCUGAGCCUUAAAGUCCUUCCUUGUGGAUGGGAGCCUCGGCGCGUUUCACAGUGUGUAAGGAGAGGCACAAAGGCCGUCUCCGCCUGGGGGCCGAGACUGGCUGGAGCGCGCCCAGAGUGAACUUUCCGCGCAGGUCAGAUGUAGGCACCGGGGUCUUGUGACGUCACAAUGCGGUCUCGCAGGGUGAAAGGCUGAGAAAGGGUCAAAACGAGGCAGUGUGUGUUGUGUGGCUGAAGAUUCAGCAAAGAAGCCGUGCAACAAAGCACUAAUUGGUCCCCAGAAACACUCUGACAAGGCAUGGAAGAUAGGUUUCAUAGAGCCCUUCGAUUGUGAAGGGGGGAGAGCUCUGAAUGGACUCCACGCUUCUUUUCUAAACUCUCUUGCUGAGCAAAAAAUGGACCUCUGUUUGAAUACUGCCCUGAUCCUUGAAUACUAUACCCAGCAGAGAAAAAAAUGCACCAUUUAUUAGAGAAGGUGCAUAAUCCUGGAGCUUGGACAUAGCACGUGAGCAAAGGUAGCACUGGCGUGGUCUUCAGUCGUGAGUGGAAAUGAAGGUGGCAGGAGACUGGAGCACAGUGUCUCCAAUAUGAGGGCAGCAGACGAGAUCACAAGAAAAGCCAUCUCCCUCUAUAAACGUUGGUGCUGAAUGAAGAUAAGGUCUUAUCUAAAGUAUAAUUCAGCUCCAGGGUGUCCUGACAUAGGAAAGAGGCCUGAAAGUGCUGAAAUUAAGUCUCUUAUUGCAUUGAAGGAGAAAGAAAACCUUUUCUAUUUUCUGGAAUGUAUAUGUUCUGGGUGAUACUCCCCAAAGGGGUUCAAUGUCUUGCCUUCCCCCUUUACAAAACAGAACACUGUUUGAAUGCUGCUAUUUGGAGGAAUGAAAAGGCAAUCCCUGAUAUAUGUGGAGAGAUUUGCAAAGCAAAUUAACCAACAACAUCUGAUUUAAUUCUCAUAACAGCCUUGACACAUAGGCAAGGGGAGUGCCACUGCUCCAUUUAUGGAUGAAGGUAUCAAACCCUCCUUUUGUGAAUUGUUUUCUUCUCCCUCCAUGCCCAGAUAAAUGGGACAUUGUUCAAGUGUCUUAGCCAAGUAAAACUCUGGGGACUUGUAGGGAUUCAGGCCCACUGCGUGGCAAGGGAGCCACAGAAAGCUGAUGUGGAAGUCAGGACCAGGGGCUCUGCUGAAGCUCCCUGCAUGUAAAGGCCACAGAGCAUCUCCAUAUUUUAUCCCACUUACUACUGUUCAUGUUAAAAAAUGUGGUUCCUGUCUUUA